UGGGGAAUUUUGCACAAUGGGGGAAACCCUGAUGCAGCGACGCCGCGUGAUUUAGAAGGCCUUCGGGUUGUAAAAAUCUUUUUUAUGGGAUGAAAAUGACAGUACCAUAAGAAUAAGGUCCGGCUAAAUACGUGCCAGCAGCCGCGGUAAUACGUAUGGACCGAGCGUUGUCCGGAAUCAUUGGGCGUAAAGGGUACGUAGGCGGCCCAGUAAGUUAGAAGUGAAAUAAUAUAGCUCAACUAUAUAAAGCUUUUAAAACUGCUAGGCUUGAGAGAUGGAAGGGAAAGUGGAAUUCCUAGUGUAGCGGUGAAAUGCGCAGAUAUUAGGAAGAAUACCGGUGGCGAAUGCGACUUUCUGGUCAUCAUCUGACGCUGAGGUACGAAAGCGUGGGUAGCAAACAGG
rnacentral:rRNA from 1 species